rnacentral:rRNA from 1 species
UACAGAGGUCUCAAGCGUUGUUCGGAUUCAUUGGGCGUAAAGGGUGCGUAGGCGGCGUGGUAAGUCGGGUGUGAAAUCUCGGAGCUUAACUCCGAAACUGCAUUCGAUACUGCCGUGCUUGAGGACUGGAGAGGAGACUGGAAUUUACGGUGUAGCGGUGAAAUGCGUAGAUAUCGAGAGGAACACCGGUGGCGAAGGCGGCCUUCUGGACAGUGACUGACGCUGAGACGCGAAAGCGUGGGGAGCAAACAGG